AUUGAACGCUGGCGGCAUGCCUAACACAUGCAAGUCGAGCGGACGAAUGAAGCUUGCGCCUGGCUUCAGCGGCGGACGGGUGAGUAAUGCCUAGGAAUCUGCCUGGUAGAUGGGGAUAACGUCCGGAAACGGGCGCUAAUACCGCACACGUCCUGAUGUAGAACGUGAUGGAUCUUCGGACCUCACGCUAUUAGAUGAGCCUAGGUCGGAUUAGCUAGUUGGUAGGGUAAAGGCCUACCAAGGCGACGAUCCGUAACUGGUCUGAGAGGAUGAUCAGUCACACUGGAACUGAGACACGGUCCAGACUCCUACGGGAGGCAGCAGUGGGGAAUAUUGGGCAAUGGGCGAAAGCCUGAUGCAGCCAUGCCGCGUGUGUGAAGAAGGUCUUCGGAUUGUAAAGCACUUUAAGUUGGGAGGAAGAGCUGUGAAUGUAUACAUUGCUGUUUUGACGUUACCAACAGAGUAAGCCCCGGCUAACUACGUG
rnacentral:rRNA from 1 species